CCCGCUGAACUUAAGCAUAUCAAUAAGCGGAGGAAAAGAAACUAACAAGGAUUCCCUCAGUAACUGCGAGUGAAGCGGGAAGAGCUCAAAUUUAAAAUCUGGCUUACUUGUAAUGCCCAGUUGGAGUCCGAGAAAACGGUUUCUAUAACUGCAGCAUGUAUAAUUCUUCGGGAAUGAAGCAUCAUAGAGGGUGAGAUUCCCGUCUUUGACAUGGUCUCAACAGUGUAUUUGUAGUAUGCUCUCAAAGAGUCGAGUUGUUUGGGAAUGCAGCUCUGAAUGGGUGGUAACCUCCAUCUAAAGCUAAAUACUGGCGAGAGACCGAUAGUGAACAAGUACCGUGAGGGAAAGGUGAAAAGAACUUUGGAAAGAGAGUUAAAAAGUACGUGAAAUUGUUGAAAGGGAAACGCUUGAAGUCAGUCACGUUGGCCAGGGAUCAACUUGCUUAAGUGUACUUCCUGGUUGAUGUGCCAACAUCAGCUUUGACUGUCAUAGAAGGGUAGGGGGAAUGUGGCACCCUCCUGGGUGUGUUAUAGCCCUCUGUCAUAUAUGGGCGCUGGAGCUGAGGAAUGCAGCGAGCCACAAGGCCGGAGAUCGACCACGUUCACGCUUAGGAUGUUGGCAUAAUGGCUUUAAUCGACCCGUCUUGAAACACGG
rnacentral:rRNA from 1 species